CGGCUUGGCUGUGGCUAGCCGAUGCAGCAUAGCUCUCGCUCUCUCUCUCUCUCUCUCUCUCUCUCUCUCUCUCUCUCUCUCUCUCUCUCUCUCUCCCUCUCUUUCUCUCUGCCUCUCUCUCCCUCUCCCCCUCCCUCCCCUGAGGGGGAGCAGCGCAGAGCAUGGAGGAGGGAGGAGGGGGGGGGGUGUGGAAGGGACCCAGGAGGGGCAAAGAGACUGGAUGGACGUGGCAGAUUAGAGAGAGAGAGAGAGAGAGAGAGAGAGAGAGAGAGAGAGUGUGAAUCUGCCGGGAGCCUACCGCCACAUAGGAUCCGUCUCGGUCUAUCAGUCUGUCUCUCUCUCCCUCUCUAUCUAUCUGUCUCCUUCUCUUUGUGUAUCCCCAUCCCACCGUCCCCCCCACCGUCCCCCUCUGCGCGGGGUCGUAUGCCACUGGUCUGGGGCUGCAGAGCAGGAGGACCACCACCACAGGCACCAGACAGGGCAGCAGCAGAGCCCUGGAUGUAACCUGACCCCUGGGAGGCUCCGGGCCCUGGUCUACCCGCUGGUGGGGAAGGAAAGGAGGAAGAAAGAGGAUCUCCUUGUUUUUGUUUGGUUUUUCCUUC
ensembl:lncRNA